rnacentral:ncRNA from 1 species
CGCAAAGAUGAAAAUAGUAGGGCGUUGCUUUGGAAAUUCAGAAACACGGUGGCUGAUGUAAACCGUGCCAAAGCAUCAUCUGAAUUACAUUCAUCAUACAAGUUUGCACGUUUCGCUCAGCGCUAUGAGCAAGAUAAGUGGUCACAAGUGAUUGUGGCAAAUUAGGUGGUACCGCGCUUAAAAUAAGCGUCCUAAUC